UACGUAGGGUUCGAGCGUUAAUCGGAAUUACUGGGCGUAAAGCGUGCGCAGGCGGUUUUGUAAGUCAGAUGUGAAAUCCCCGGGCUCAACCUGGGAAUGGCAUUUGGGACUGCAAGGCUGGAGUUUGGCAGAGGAGACUGGAAUUCCCGGUGUAGCAGUGAAAUGCGUAGAUAUCGGGAGGAAUACCGAUGGCGAAGGCAGGUCUCUGGGCUAUAACUGACGCUCAUGCACGAAAGCGUGGGGAGCAAACAGG
rnacentral:rRNA from 1 species